UACGAAGGGUGCGAGCGUUGUCCGGAAUUAUUGGGCGUAAAGGGCUCGUAGGCGGUUUGUCGCGUCGGGAGUGAAAUCCACUGGCUUAACUGGUGGCUUGCUUUCGAUACGGGCAGACUGGAGGUAUGCAGGGGAGAACGGAAUUCCUGGUGUAGCGGUGAAAUGCGCAGAUAUCAGGAGGAACACCGGUGGCGAAGGCGGCUCUCUGGGACGGUACCGACGCUGAGACGCGAAAGCGUGGGGAGCGAACAGG
rnacentral:rRNA from 1 species